GACGAACGCUGGCGGCGUGCUUAACACAUGCAAGUCGAACGGAAAGGCCCUGCUUUUGUGGGGUGCUCGAGUGGCGAACGGGUGAGUAACACGUUAGUAACCUGCCCUUGUCUUUGGGAUAACUUCAGGUAACUGGGGCUAAUACCGGAUAGGAGCUCCUGCUGCAUGGUGGGGGUUGGAAAGUUUCGGCGGUUGGGGAUGGACUCGCGGCUUAUCAGCUUGUUGGUGGGGUAGUGGCUUACCAAGGCUUUGACGGGUAGCCGGCAUGAGAGGGUGACCGGCCACAUUGGGACUAAGAUACGGCCCAGACUCCUACGGGAGGCAGCAGUGGGGAAUAUUGCACAAUGGGCGGAAGCCUGAUGCAGCAACGCCGCGUGCGGGAUGACGGCCUUCGGGUUGUAAACCGCUUUAGCCUGUGACGAAGCGUGAGUGACGGUAAUGGGUAAAGAAGCACCGGCUAACUACGUG
rnacentral:rRNA from 1 species